rnacentral:rRNA from 1 species
GACAGAGGUCCCGAGCGUUGUUCGGAUUCAUUGGGCGUAAAGGGUGUGUAGGAGGUCAGGUAAGUCGUGUGUGAAAUCUCAGAGCUUAACUCUGAAACUGCGCUCGAUACUGCUUGGCUAGAGGAUCGGAGGGGGUAACGGAAUUUAUGGUGUAGCAGUGAAAUGCGUAGAUAUCAUAAGGAACACCGGUGGCGAAGGCGGUUACCUGGACCGGCAUUGACGCUGAGGCGCGAAAGCUAGGGGAGCAAACGGG